UACAGAGGGUGCAAGCGUUAAUCGGAAUUACUGGGCGUAAAGCGCGCGUAGGUGGGUGGAUAAGUUGGAUGUAAAAUCCCCGGGCUUAACCUGGGAAUUGCGUUGGAGACUGCAAGGCUGGAAUCUGGCAGAGGGGGGUAGAAUUCCACGUGUAGCAGUGAAAUGCGUAGAGAUGUGGAGGAACACCGAUGGCGAAGGCAAUCCCCUGGGCCUGUACUGACGCUCAUGCACGAAAGCGUGGGGAGCAAACAGG
rnacentral:rRNA from 1 species